CCGGCGACCGGCGCACGGGUGGGUAACACGUAUGGAACCUGCCCUAUGCAGGGGGAUAAGCGGAAGAAAUUCCGUCUAAUACCGCAUAACACCUUUAGGAGACAUCUUCUUGGGGUCAAAGGAGGCGACUCCGGCAUAGGAUGGCCAUGCGUCGCAUUAGCUAGUCGGCGGGGUAACGGCCCACCGAGGCGACGAUGCGUAGGGGUUCUGAGAGGAAGGUCCCCCACACUGGUACUGAGACACGGACCAGACUCCUACGGGAGGCAGCAG
rnacentral:rRNA from 1 species